rnacentral:rRNA from 1 species
GAUGAACGCUAGCUACAGGCUUAACACAUGCAAGUCGAGGGGCAGCAUGGUCUUAGCUUGCUAAGGCCGAUGGCGACCGGCGCACGGGUGAGUAACACGUAUCCAACCUGCCGUCUACUCUUGGACAGCCUUCUGAAAGGAAGAUUAAUACAAGAUGGCAUCAUGAGUUCACAUGUUCACAUGAUUAAAGGUAUUCCGGUAGACGAUGGGGAUGCGUUCCAUUAGAUAGUAGGCGGGGUAACGGCCCACCUAGUCUUCGAUGGAUAGGGGUUCUGAGAGGAAGGUCCCCCACAUUGGAACUGAGACACGGUCCAAACUCCUACGGGAGGCAGCAGUGAGGAAUAUUGGUCAAUGGGCGAGAGCCUGAGCCAGCCAAGUAGCGUGAAGGAUGACUGCCCUAUGGGUUGUAAACUUCUUUUAUAAAGGAAUAAAGUCGGGUAUGUAUACCCGUUUGCAUGUACUUUAUGAAUAAGGAUCGGCUAACUCCGUG